rnacentral:rRNA from 1 species
UACGGGGGGGGCAAGCGUUGUUCGGAAUUACUGGGCGUAAAGGGUUUGUAGGUGGCCCGCUAAGUCACACGUGAAAUCCCUCAGCUUAACUGGGGAACUGCGUGUGAGACUGGCAGGCUCGAGGGCAGGAGAGGAACGCGGAAUUCCGGGUGUAGCGGUGAAAUGCGUAGAUAUCUGGAGGAACACCGGUGGCGAAGGCGGCGUUCUGGACUGUCUCUGACACUGAAGAACGAAAGCCAGGGGAGCAAACGGG